CAAGUCAGAUGUGAAAGCCUUCUGUUCAACGGAAGAAUUGCAUCUGAAACUGCUAAUCUUGAGUAUAGGAGGGGAGAAUGGAACUUCUGGUGGAGCGGUGAAAUGCGUAGAUAUCAGAAGGAACGCCGGCGGCGAAAGCGAUUCUCUGGCCUAUUACUGACACUCAGUGUGCGAAAGCUAGGGGAGCAAACGGGAUUAGAUACCCCGGUAGUCCUAGCCGUAAACGAUGGGCACUAAGUAGAGGGGAUUACCUAUGUUCUCCCUGCCGUAGCUAACGCAUUAAGUGCCCCGCCUGGGGAGUACGGCCGCAAGGCUAAAACUCAAAAGAAUUGACGGGGGCUCGCACAAGCGGUGGAGCAUGUGGCUUAAUUCGAUGCAACGCGAAAAACCUUACCGGGGCUUGACAUGAUAGAAGUAGGAACCUGAAAGGGGGACGAACGGUAUCCAGUCCGUAGCUAUUACAGGUGUUGCAUGGCUGUCGUCAGCUCGUGUCGUGAGACGUUGGGUUAAGUCCCCUAACGAGCGAAACCCUUGUUUUUAGUUACCAGCGGGUUAUGCCGGGUACUCUAG
rnacentral:rRNA from 1 species